GACGAACGCUGGCGGCGUGCCUAAUACAUGCAAGUCGAGCGCGCGGCGGACGGGUGAGUAACACGUAUGGAACCUUCCGUUAAGCGGGGGACAACCUCCGGAAACGGGUGCUAAUACCGCAUACUUAUCGAUGGCCUUGCGGUGUAUUAGCUGGUUGGUGGGGUAACGGCCUACCAAGGCAAUGAUGCAUAGCCGACCUGAGAGGGUGAGCGGCCACACGGGGACUGAGACACGGCCCAGACUCCUACGGGAGGCAGCAGUAGGGAAUCUUCCGCAAUGGGCGCAAGCCUGACGGAGCAACGCCGCGUGAGUGAAGAAGGUUUUCGGAUCGUAAAGCUCUGUUGGAAGAGAAGCGGUAUCUAACCAGAAAGCCACGGCUAACUACGUGCCAGCAGCCGCGGUAAUAC
rnacentral:rRNA from 1 species